rnacentral:rRNA from 1 species
CAGCCGUAAACUAUGCUCGCUAGGUGUCAGGCAUGGCGCGACCGUGUCUGGUGCCGCAGGGAAGCCGUGAAGCGAGCCACCUGGGAAGUACGGCCGCAAGGCUGAAACUUAAAGGAAUUGGCGGGGGGAGCACAACAACGGGUGGAGCCUGCGGUUUAAUUGGACUCAACGCCGGGAAGCUCACCGGAUAAGACAGCGGAAUGAUUGCCGGGCUGAAGACUCUGCAUGACUAGCUGAGAGGUGGUGCAUGGCGUAGACGGUCU